rnacentral:rRNA from 1 species
UGGGGAAUAUUGGACAAUGGGCGAAAGCCUGAUCCAGCCAUGCCGCGUGAGUGAUGAAGGCCCUAGGGUUGUAAAGCUCUUUUGUGCGGGAAGAUAAUGACGGUACCGCAAGAAUAAGCCCCGGCUAACUUCGCGCCAGCAGCCGCGGUAAUACGAAGGGGGCUAGCGUUGCUCGGAAUCACUGGGCGUAAAGGGUGCGUAGGCGGGUUUCUAAGUCAGAGGUGAAAGCCUGGAGCUCAACUCCAGAACUGCCUUUGAUACUGGAAUUCUUGAGUUCGGGAGAGGUGAGUGGAACUGCGAGUGUAGAGGUGAAAUUCGUAGAUAUUCGCAAGAACACCAGUGGCGAAGGCGGCUCACUGGCCCGAUACUGACGCUGAGGCACGAAAGCGUGGGGAGCAAACA